UGUCAACAGUCGGGUCCUCUCCUCCUACAUCGCGCCACCAAGUGGCCGGCCAUGCUGCGGUACCUCGUACCGCUGCUCCUCGCGGCGGCCGCUGCCACCACCGCGACCGCCACGUUCGUGCUCGAUGAGGCCACCAUCGAGUCCAUCCACCGCGCCUUCGCCGGCGGCGCGCUCACCUCGCGCGGCCUCGUCGAGCUCUACCUGCGCCGCAUCGCGUCGCUCGACCCGGCCCUCCACGCCGUCGUAGAGCUCGACGCCGACGGCGCGCUCGCCGCCGCCGACCGCGCCGACGCCGCCCGCCUCCUAGGAGGCGCCUCGCUCCCGCCGCUGCACAGCAUCCCCGUGCUGAUCAAGGACAACAUCGCCGCGGCCGGCGCCUUAAACGCGACGGCCGGGUCGCUCGCGCUGGUCGGGUCCCGCCCCGCGCGCGACGCCGGCGUGGUCGAGCGGCUCCGGAGCGCCGGCGCGGUGGUCCUCGGCACCGCCAGCCUCAGCGAGUGGUGUAACUUCCGCGCCCCCGGCGUCCCCGCCGGCUGGAGCCCCCGCGGCGGGCAGGGCCUGAACCCAUACGUGCCGUCAGCGACGACGUGCUCCUCCAGCAGCGGCUCCGCCAUCGCUGCUGCGGCAAACAUGGUGGCGGUGACGAUCGGGACCGAGACUGAUGGGUCCAUCAUGUGCCCGUCAAGCUUCAACUCUGUUGUCGGGAUCAAGCCGACGGUCGGCCUCACGAGCCGUGCCGGCGUCAUCAUCAUUUCUCCAAGGAUGGACACAGUGGGCCCAAUCUGUAGGACUGUUUCAGAUGCAGUAAAUGUGUUGGAAGCAAUCGUUGGUUACGAUCCACGGGAUGCAGAGGCAACUCACAUGGCAUCUCAGUAUAUCCCGGAAGGCGGUUACAGGCAAUUCUUGAACAUAAAUGGUCUAAGAGGCAAGAGGAUUGGGGUUAUGAGGAAGGAUUUCUUCCUGUUUCCCCCCGGAUCCAUCAAAGAGAAGGUGUUUGGGGAGCACUUCGACACUAUGAGGCAAUUGGGUGCCAUAUUGGUGGACAAUCUUGAGAUACCAAGCAUGAAUGUCAUCAACGAUGCAGUACAAAGCGGCGAACGUGCUCUAAUGCUCGCCGAGUUCAAGCUGUCCCUCAACUCUUACCUGUCUGAGCUGGCCACCACACCUGUUAAAUCAUUAUCAGGCAUAAUUGAAUUCAACGACAAGCAUCCUGUCGCGGAAAGGAUGGCUGAAUUUGGCCAGAGUUACCUUGUGCAAUCUGAAGCAACAAACGGCAUUGGUCCGACUGAGGAGCGUGCCAUUGCCAAACUGAACAAACUGUGCGAGGAGGGCCUUGAGAAGAUUAUGCUAGUCAAUCAACUGGACGCAAUCGUCGCUCCUGGCGCAUCUGCUCAUAGCCUGCUUGCCAUCGGUGGCUACCCAGCGAUCACCAUCCCGGCCGGAUACGCGUCGGAUGGCGUUCCUUUUGCAAUCUGCUUUGGAGGGUUGAAAGGAUCAGAGCCGAAGCUUAUUGAGAUUUCUUAUUCCUUUGAGCAGGCAACGAAAGUCAGGAGGCCCCCACCAGUAUUGCAGCAUUCUUCCGUUUGAUUGUAGUGCUGUUUUUACCAGUUUGUCCAUGCAUUCACUGAAUUUCCUAGUAUUUUGGUAGUGAAGGUCCUAAAUGUGUUUGCCUCAUUAUGGGGAUAUAAUGACCUGUUGCAUACGCUGACAACAAGACCACAGGCCAUGUUUAUGCAUUUGAAGCAUCUAACUUGUACGAUAUUUAUCUUCUAUGAUGAUUCGAAUUCCCAUAA